AGAGCUCAACACCCACUAACCACAAGAUCGUGACCUGAUCUGAAGUCAGACACUUAACCAACUGAGCCACCCAGGCGCCCCCAAAGGAGAUAAUUUUUGAAUGAUAUUUUGUCCUAAGUCUGCUAAAGAAAAAAAUAAGAGAGAACUAAUAUUCUGGUGGAACAGCAAGGCCCUGGGCAUUUAGAAAAAUAUUCCCAGAGCAUUUACAUGGAUUUUAAGACCAUAACAAAACAAAACAAAAAAACCCCACAAUGCUUUGCUUUUUUUUCUUUUAACUCUUACUUAAGAUACUUCUAAUAUAUAACCUUAUCCAAGGUUAAAGCAGGAAUGAGAAGUACAGCCCAUCCCAUUUUAAUGAAUUCACCCUGGUUCCCAGAGAUCUCAGCCAUCACCCAGGUGUCUACUUGAUAUAGAGCUAGGCUGCCACCAAGUGGCGGACCGUGGUUGUUCCUGCUCUGUCUUCCAGGAAGUAUAACUGAUUUUGUGUUUCCAGGACGUGAUCUUUGGCAAUUUCCUCUCUUUUGAAGUCAAGUCCAAAUCUAAAAUCACACUUUAAGUGUCCCAAACUGCUUUUGCUGGUUGAUUUUUUCCACCAAAUAAAUAGGCGUUGGAGCUCGCUGGGGCCCUACUCCUAACUUCUUGAGAAAGGGGUUCAGAACAGUCCAACAUCCAGUAACCAUCAGAUUAGUUGAGAGUUUCAUUUGUAAAGUAAAUUCAACUCAGACUGUCUUACACCCAAAAUCUGAAUUUAUUUUCUCCUGUAACUAGGAAGUCUGGCUGUGGAAUUGAUCUCAAAGACCCCCCAGCACCCAAGGCAUGUGUGGUGUAGGACACAACUGGGAGUCACAGAGCAAGGUACCGUGUUGGCAAAGAUUUUGAAGUCUGACAACGCAACUGGGAAAAAAGAGAACCUUCAUAUACCGCAGAAGAGAAUGGAAAUUGGUUUGACUGUUCCGGAGUGCAAUUUGUUAACACCUUAUAGAGCUAAAAAUGCACCAGUUCAUCAAACCAGACAUGCCACUUCUAGGUAGAAACUGUCUCGAGAUCCUCAAAUUCUCUGAAUAAAAAACCAAGUGUUAACAUUCCAACCUGUUGAAGAUUAAUAUUUUUGUAAAAUACAGUAAAAACAUAAAACAAAUAAAACAUAAACAUAGACAAAAUAGGA